rnacentral:rRNA from 1 species
UACGAAGGGGGCUAGCGUUGCUCGGAAUUACUGGGCGUACAGCGCGCGCAGGUGGUUUGGUAAGUCGGAUGUGAAAUCCCCGGGCUCAACCUGGGAACUGCAUUCGAAACUGCCUGGCUAGAGUUUGAGAGAGGGAAGUGGAAUUCCACAUGUAGCGGUGAAAUGCGUAGAUAUGUGGAGGAACAUCAGUGGCGAAGGCGGCUUCCUGGCUUAAAACUGACGCUGUGGCGCGAAAGCGUGGGUAGCAAACAGG